GGUUGAUGAUAUAGAGAUCGAGCAAGUUUUACCUGGCUUCUUCUCUUCUGGACCAUCUCAUGACAAGGCAGGAGCACUGAGAAGUUCUAACGGCAAGCCUGCCUUAGUCUCUAGCUUCCAGACAUCAAUUAUGAGCGAGCGUCAGAAGCUCUUGGACGCGGCCCGGACUGCGGUAAACCUGCUUGACGCCGCUCAUUCCGCAGUGGACCUUCUCACCACCGUACUCGGGACUGAAGAGGAGAACGGUUGCCAUGGCAAUCUCAUCGAACAACAUAGUGACGUCACUGACUUGCCACAGACUGCGUCCAACAGCACUUCAGAAGUCUGGAAAACACAGAUUCCAGAGGGAAGAGGUCCUAUGAGGGGGGCUUCAACGUUGAGAAUCAAAGAUGACACCAAACCUCAUUCCCAGGAUACAGCACCUUCAAAUAU